CUAACAAAGCACUCAUAGACAUCUUUAGGAGACACAGAAAGCACGUAUAUCUAACUUCCACUCUACAGAAGUCUGGGUGAGAUUAAAUGGCCAGGAUUGUGACCUGAAUUCUAAUUUUAAAUCUGUUUUCGAAUAAAAACAAAGAAAGAAAAGAGAAAAAAAUGUUCGAAAACCAAGCACUUUCUCUACGUAUCUGGGGGAAAACUGAGUGGUAGUAAAGUUCAGGUGUUUAAUUCUGGUACAGCGCUACUUAAUACAUAAACCACAGAUUUUACUAUUCAAGACUUUCCUUCAACGCUUUAAAAAAUCUGUUAAUGGUAUCAAACCACCAAAACGUUGUAAGUGUCCAAUGUUAUCUAGAAUAAAGUAAUCUAAAAACUCUACCUCUAACAGUAUGCAACAAGUUAUCAACCUUUUUACUGUACUUUUGUGCUUCUUAGCAAGCUUAAAACAUACUUCUUACCUACGUUAUGCCAUUCAGAAGUUUAAGUGACUUAAAAUAGAUCUUUAAGAUUUUCCUAUUCAACACAACAAAUAACAUUUAAACUGAAUACUGUCGAAAGCAAACGCCUCGUUUACAAUUAGAAUGAACUCCUUUUUAUAAUUCUGAACAUCUAAGAGCUUAUGGCCGCUACUUUACCCCAUCACCAACACUCCUCGAGUGUCCAAAGUACCCAAACUUCUAGAAAACGUCCCCUUAUUAUUAAAAUAUUUUGCGUAUGAGAUCAGAGCUGGAGACCUGGACAACUGUGGAGAACUGCCCAAUUCCAGCCUCCAACAUAAAAAGGGGGGAGGAGAGAAAAGGGAAGGGAAGAGCCGCGCAGCGGAGAAAAGACGUAAGGGAGGAGAGGGACUUUCAAAAUGCCCCGGUGCCACGUACAGCCUAUGCAGAACAGCCGUUCCUCUGCGAAGUAGUGGAGGUCUACUGCUGCGGACCAAGGAGGCCACUCUACAAAGGGCACUCGGAAUAGAGCCCUGGGAGGCAAACAUCCCUCAUCUCUUCCUGCUGGUGGCUGUGGGGGACACCUGGCCCUGAACGCCCCCUCACAGGUUACCUUUGCAGCUCCUCUUCCUUCCACAUGGGCCACAUUCCUUCCCUCAAGUUCCUAGAUAAGGAAAAGUACAGUGGCUGAUUCCAAACAAGAUCAAAACAAGACAGAUCAGACUAUUUAAACCUCGCCGGCAAUUUUCUGCUGAAGACUUCCUCUAUCUGCAAGCAAUAUAGG